UACGUAGGGGGCAAGCGUUGUCCGGAUUUAUUGGGCGUAAAGGGCGCGUAGGCGGCGUGUCAAGUCAGGCGUGAAAGCCCCCGGCUCAACCGGGGAGGGUCGUCGGGGACGGGCCAGCUUGAGGACGGCAGGGGCAGGUGGAAUUCCCGGUGUAGUGGUGAAAUGCGUAGAGAUCGGGAGGAACACCCGUGGCGAAGGCGGCCUGCUGGGCCGAUCCUGACGCUGAGGCGCGAAGGCGUGGGGAGCGAACGGG
rnacentral:rRNA from 1 species